rnacentral:rRNA from 1 species
GAUGAACGCUGGCGGCGUGCCUAAUACAUGCAAGUCGAGCGAACAGACGAGGAGCUUGCUCCUCUGACGUUAGCGGCGGACGGGUGAGUCACACGUGUAUAACCUACCUAUAAGACUGGGAUAACUUCGGGAAACCGGAUCUAAUACCGGAUAAUAUAUUGAACCGCAUGGUUCAUUAGUGCAAGACGGAUUUGCUGUCACUUAUAGAUGGUUCCGCGCCGCAUUAGCUAGUUGGUAAGGUAACGGCCUACCAAGGCUACGAUGCGUAGCCGACCUGAGAGGGUGAUCGGCCACACUGGAACUGAGACACGGUCCAGACUCCUACGGGAGGCAGCAGUAGGGAAUCUUCCGCAAUGGGCGAAAGCCUGACGGAGCAACGCCGCGUGAGUGAUGAAGGUCUUCGGAUCGUAAAACUCUGUUAUUAGGGAAGAACAAAUGUGUAAGUAACUAUGCACGUCUUGACGGUACCUAAUGAGAAAGCAACGGCUAACUACGUG